CCUGAUCACGAGCUGCUUUACGCAGACGUUCUCCAAGAAGAAUCGAGAUUACAGGGAGACUUGACCUUGAGCUCUGGAUCAUGGCCGCAGGUGAGAUGGGCGGGAAACAGCUGGGGAGAGAAGGGGCACCUGUGGAACCUGAUGAUCUGAAAAAGGGCAAUCCGAGCCCGAAGGGUUUCUACGCAUGUUAAGCUGACAUUGCUUAAAUAUUAACAGCACGGCGAUAACAAACAUUUGGAAGUCCGACUUCUGGGUGACUACAGCCGCUGGCUAAAAAAAUGUGCCUGUGGUUAAGAACGUAAGAAUAGCCCUCCUGGAUUAGCUCAAUGGCCCAUCUAGUCCAGCAUCCUGUUUUGUUUUGUUUUCAAAUCAUUUUUAUUAAGUUUCCCAUUUUAACAAUCCAAUCAAAUCACAUUGAAUGUUCCAAAUUACAGUGGUACCUCGGGUUAAGUACCGUAUUUCUCGCUCUAUAAGACGCACCAGACCACAAGACGCACCUAGUUUUUGGAGGAGGAAAACAAGAAAAAAAAUAUUCUGAAUCUCAGAAGCCAGAACAGCAAGAGGGAUUGCAGCACAGCGAAAGCAGCAAUCCCUCUUGCUGUUCUGGCUUCUGGGAUAGCUGCGCAGCCUGCAUUCGCUCCAUAAGACGCACACACAUUUCCCCUUACUUUUUAGGAGGGAAAAAGUGAGUCUUAUAGAGCAAAAAAUACGGUACUUAAUUCGUUCUGCAGGUCCGUUCUUAACCUGAAACUGUUCUUAACCUGAAGCACCACUUUAGCUAAUGGGGCCUCCCCCUGCUGCCGCGCCGCAAGAGCACGAUUUCUGUUCUCAUCCUGAAGCAAAGUUCUUAACCUGAAGCACUAUUUCUGGGUUACAGGAGUCUGUAACCUGAAGCGUAUGUAACCUGAAGCGUACGUAACCGGAGGUACCACUGUAUACAAAUACAUAUCAAAUAGUCCAAAUGUUCUGCCUAAAUUAUAAUUUUUUUGUUGGGACUUCCCAUGCUUCAAGUUCGGGGGGGGGCCUCUGAUCAUCUCAUAUCUCUGCUGCCUUGAAUAGUCUUUCCAAUGUUGUUGUUGUUUGGUCGUUUAGUCGUGUCCUCCUCUUUGUGACCCCAUGGACCAGAGCACGCCAGGCACUCCUGUCUUCCACUGCCUCCCACAGUUUGGUCAAACUCAUGCUGGUAGCUUCGAGAACACUGUCCAACCAUCUCGUCCUCUGUCGUCCCCUUCUCCUUGUGCCCUCCAUCUUUCCCAAUAUCAGGGUCUUUUCCAGGGAGUCUUCUCUUCUCAAGAGGUGGCCAAAGUCUUGGAGCCUCAGCUUCAGGAUCUGUCCUUCCAGGGAGCACUCAGGGCUGAUUUCCUUAAGAAUGGAGAGGUUUGAUCUUCUUGCACUCCACGGGACUCUCAAGAGUCUCCUCCAGCACCAGAAUUCAGAAGCAUCCAUUCUUCGGCGAUCAGCCUUCUUUAUGGCCCAGCUCUCACUUCCAUACAUCACUACCAGGAAAACCACAGCUUUAACUAUACAGACCUUUGUUGUCAAGGUGAUGUCUCUGCUUUUUAAGAUGCUGUCUAGGUUUGUCAUCGCUUUUCUCCCAAGAAGCAGGCGUCUUUUAAUUUCGUGACUGCUGUCACCAUCUGCAGUGAUCAUGGAGCCCAAGCAAGUAAAAUCUCUCACUGCCUCCAUUUCCCCCCCUUCUAUUUGCCGGGAGGUGAUAGUUCCUUUAAAUCUUCCUGUUGUUAACCUUCCUUCUUUCAUGGCCUCUGAAUUGUUUCCACAAGCGAGUUGAAAUAAGCAAUGAUGUGUUUGUGUGUGGAUUUUAGUGUAUGACUCUCCGCCGUUGUUGCAGUAUCUACUCACACGCUGGUGUUUAUGCCGAUUCAAUCCAAAAGUCAUUUCGCUGCUGCCAGACGCCAUCUUCUCUCAAUUCCGACGAAAUCAAAUCUAGGGGUUUGCUCAUUAAUUUUCCCAGACCGGUUGCAUCAAACAUUAGCCUUUCCAGGGGAGAUUUACCAAAUUGUAGUCCAGCAUCCUGUUCUUAUGGUGGAUACCUGUUAUGUACUGAAGUUCUCACCCUGGGCCAGCAGGGGGAUACUGUAGAUAGUUAUGCAAAUGAAGGAUCGAAAGUGACAUUCAGUGAUUGGAUAGUUUGUAUGCAAAUGAAGGAUCGAAAGUGACGUUCAGUGAUUGGCUAGUUACAGAAAAUGGUUACUGUUGCAUUCUAGUGGAGCUCUAUAUAAGCAGGCUGACUGAGCUCCUCAGUUCAGUUCUGUUCCAGUUUACAAAUAAAGAGCUGCUUUGGAAGAAUCGCUGUGUCGUCUGAUAUGUUCGCCCACAACUUAACAAUACCCAACCAGAAGCCCACGGGAAACCAAGGAACAGAACAGGAGCACAAGAGCAUCUCUCCCCAUCCUGUGGUUUCCAGCACCUGCAUAUUCAGAAGCAUUGUUGCCUAGCCAACAUGAAGACCUUUGCCUCCGCCUCGGGAACCCUCAUGCCAAGUUUGGCAACGGUAACGCAAGAGGGGUCCAAAUCUAUGCCAAAAAAGCCGACAGGCGGAGUCGCACCAAAGUCACAUUUCGGUCAGCCAUCUUGAUUCUAGAUGGUGGCCAAGCACCAACAAAGAUCUUCAUCCCCAUCUAAGAAACCCACAUACCAAGUUUGGCAGGGACAUCUCAAAAGGCGGCCCAACCUGGGCCAUUAGAUAAUUUUUAUUAACUUUUCUGUUUUACAAUUUGAAAUACUACAUCUUUAAGAUAUCAGUGACUUCCCUCCUUCUCUUUCCAUGGUUCGUUUUGCAUAUCGUAAAUCCCUGCAUGUUUUACAAAAACUAUAUCAUUCAGUAUUCCAUUAUUGCAUCCAUCUAUACUUAUUUACACUGCUGAAUUUAUCUUAAUGCUGCCACUGUUUUCAGCUAUACACAAUUAUUUCCUGUACAUUCAAUAAACGUUUCCCAAUCUUCUUUAAACGUAUGUUCUUCUUGUUCUCUCAUUCUAUAUGUUUUUUUUCCAAAAAUUUUUAUUCAUUUUAUAACACAAAUAAAAGCACAAACAGAAAAGACAAACAAUACAAAAAAAUUCUUGUCAUAUCCUUAUUUUUCUAAACAUUGUUAAGUGGGCUUCCCCAAGUCCCACCUAUCUGAUUUUCAUUUUACUUCAUCUUUAGCAGUUUACAUAUAUCAUAAUUUCUAACCAUCUUCCCCCACACACACUUACUUUAACCAUAAAAAACUUCACAUUUUAUCACUUCUACUUCUACUUAUAUAUUCUACUUCUAACCCUACCGCCUAUAUCCCCUUCAAGAGCUAUUAAAAGAUUUAAAUAUUAACAUAUUUUUUUCAAAUAUUCCUUAAACUUCUUCCAAUCUUCUUCCACCGUCUCUUCUCUCUGGUCUCGGAGUCUCCCGGUCAGUUUGGCAAGUUCCAUAUAGUCCAUCAUCUUCAUCUGCCAUUCUUCGAUAGUUGGUAAAUCUUGUUUCUUCCAAUUCUUCGCUAGCAAUAUUCUUGCAGCUGUUGUGGCAUACAGAAAAAAGGUAACAUCCUUUUGGGGAUGUCACCCCCACUAUGCCAAGUAAAAAGGCUUCUGGUUUUUUUAAUAAAUGUGUUUUUCAACACUUUUUUCAAUUCAUUAUAAAUCCUUUCCUCAGUGUGUUAAGUUGUGGGCAAACAUAUCAGACGACACAGCGAUUCUUCUAAAGCAGCUCUUUAUUUGUAAGCUGGAACAGAACUGAACUGAGGAGCUCAGUCAGCCUGCUUAUAUAGAGCUCCACUAGAAUGCAACAGUAACCAUUUUCUGUAACUAGCCAAUCACUGAACGUCACUUUCAAUCCUUCAUUUGCAUACAAACUAUCCAAUCACUGAACGUCAAUUUUGAUCCUUCAUUUGCAUUCUAUCUACAGUAUCCCCUGCUGGCCCAGGGUGAGAACUUCAGUACAUAACACAGUGCAUGUAAGUCCCAUAUUGCCAGAGGUGAGUCUCAUCCUGUUUUUCCACCAGAGGCAAAAAGGAAAAGUGAUGCUUUCUGGCUAUGCUGUGACCUCCCACCCUACUUCUGCAGCACUCCAAAAUUGGCUAGAGGGAGGCGUUUUGGUGGAAGCAGUGGAGUGGGUGAGGCGCUGCCUCUUGCACUCCCGCCGCCCAAAGCAGCCGCUUCACCUGGCCCAACAGGUGGGCCGGCUCUGCUCAAGUGACGUGAGCUGGGUUUGAACAGCAGCCACGUAUGACAAGGUUGUAUAUUGUCUCCCUGCUUAUUUAACUUAUAUGCAGAAUUCAUCAUGCGAAAGGUUGGGCUGGAUGACUCCCUAGCCAGAAUUAAGAUUGCCGGAAGAAAUAUCAACAGCCUCAGAUAUGCAGAUGACAAAAGCUUGAUGGCAGAAAGUGAGGAGGAAUUAAAGAACCUUUUAAUGAGGGUGAAAGAGGAGAGUGCAAAAUAUGGUCUGAAGCUCAGCAUAGAAAAAACCAAAGAUCAUGGCCACUGGUCCCAUCACCUCCUGGCAAAUAGAAGGGGGAGAAAUGGAGGCAGUGAGAGAUUUUACUUGCUUGGGCUCCAUGAUCACUGCAGAUGGUGACAGCAGUCACGAAAUUAAAAGACGCCUGCUUCUUGGGAGAAAAGCAGUGACAAACCUGGACAGCAUCUUCAAAAGCAGAGACAUCACCUUGCCAACAAAGGUCUGUAUAGUUAAAGCUAUGGUUUUCCCAGUAGUGAUGUAUGGAAGCGAGAGAAGGGCCAUAAAGAAGGCUGAUCGCCGAAGAAUGGGUGCUUUUGAAUUCUGGUGCUGGAGGAGACUCUUGAGAGUCCCAUGAACUGCAAGAAGAUCAAACCCAUCCAUUCGGAAGGAAAUCAGCCCUGAGUGCUCACUGGAAGGACAGAUCCUGAAGCUGAGGCUCCAAGACUUUGGCCACCUCAUGAGAAGAGAAGACUCCCUAGAAAAGACCCUGAUGUUGGGAAAGACGGAGGGCACAAGGAGAAAGGGAUGACAGAGGACGAGAUGGUUGGACAGUGAUCUCGAAGCUACAAACAUGAGUCUGACCAAACUGCGGGAGGCAGUGGAAGACAGGAGUGCCUGGCGUGCUCUGGUCCAGGGGGUCACAAAGAGGCGGACACGACUAGACAACAACAACAUGUCUCUCUUUUAUACCGAGGGCACAUUUGUGCAUGCUCACCAGCUAGCCAAUCUGUUAGCAAACCCAGUAUUGCAUUUUGCAGGGGACAAGUGCGAAAUGUUCAUUCUGUUCUUCCUAUUUUUAGGUGGCUGAGAAGUUUUUGGCUGUCAUGGGGACCGGGAUCCAUGCACAUGCCUUGGCAGAUGGGUGAGGAGGUAAAAAACAAGAGGAAAGAACAGAAUGCAGUGAGCACGAUGCUUCCGAUGGCAAAUACGCUGCAAUUUCCCUCAGAAUGCCUUGUUGGUAAUUUAGUACUGUUGAAUGGAGGCCAGAGCCGGCCCUAUGAUGAGGCAGAGGGAAGCAGCCACCUCAGGCGGCAGAUGCUGAGGUGCGGGGAGGGAACAGAUUGACAUGUGGCCUUCCCUGUGAAAUAAAAAAAAUAAGGUCUUAUAUGUAUAAUAAAUGUUCAUAAAUGUACCAAGCAAACACGUACAUAAAUAUAUAAACCACAUGUCUGAAGCAGCACAGGAAAACAGCCCGGAAACCAUUUUGACUCCCCAACUGACCAAAUGAUUUCUCUGCAAGGUCAAGAAAAAUGAAAAAGCUCCCCUUUGUCUUUUCAUUCACAAAUCCUGUCUUAAGGGUAUGUCUGUGUAUGAAUAGGGUGAGUCUGUGACUAAGUACCGUAUUUUUCGCUCCAUAAGACAUACCUGACCAUCAGACACACCUAGAUUUUAGAGGAGGAAAACAAGAAAAAAAAUAUUCUACAGUGGAUGUAUGAUUUUUGUGGUUCAUGCUGUGGCAGCCUCCUGUAUCGCUAGAGUCCCUUAUCUCCCCUCCCGAUCACUUGCUGAUCAGCUGCUAAGCGGCUUUGUUUCAACACCCCAUUCCCUCUUUCUAAAAAAAAAAAAAAAAAAGCACAAUCUGCUUUUCACCCCGGGCAAUUGGGCUCCAGGGACCACGCAUUCGCUUCAUAAGACGUACAGACAUUUCCCCUUACUUUCUAGGAGGAAAAAAGUGUGUCUUAUGGAGUGAAAAAUACGGUAUUUAUCAUUACAAAAGACUGGCCAGGCUCCCCAGGGUAUCCAAUCAAGUGACCAUUAACAAGUAACCUGCCAGACAGGAGGUAAACAACAGAUUUCUGGUAAACAGCACUCAGAUUUCUGUUGUAGACCACCCCUUUCUGUGAUGUAUGUAUGAUGUUUCUGGGGGUGGUCUUGGACUCCAGGGCGGGCAAUUUAAAAUGUCUAUAUAAGGGCGGGCACACCUGGGUUCUGGGUCCUCCUCCUCCUGCGUGUGAAGGGGUCACCCUGUUGCAACAGUUCAAUAAAGAUCAGGC